GACGAACGCUGGCGGCGUGCUUAACACAUGCAAGUCGAACGGGUCUGCCCUGUUUUUUGCGGGGUGGGUCAGUGGCGAACGGGUGAGUAACACGUGAGUAACCUGCCCCUCACUUCUGGAUAACCGCUUGAAAGGGUGGCUAAUACGGGGUGUUCUGGCUGUGCCGCAUGGUGUGGCUGGGAAAGAUUCACUUUUGUGGUGUUUUGGUGGGGGAUGGGCUCGCGGCCUAUCAGCUUGUUGGUGGGGUGAUGGCCUGCCAAGGCUUUGACGGGUAGCCGGCCUGAGAGGGUGGGCGGUCACAAUGGGACUGAGAUACGGCCCAGACUCCUGCGGGAGGCAGCAGGGGGGGGUAUUGCACAAUGGGCGGAAGCCUGAUGCAGCGACGUCGCGGGAGGGAUGGAGGCCUUCGGGUUGUGAACCUCUUUCGCCGGUGAAGAAGGUCCUGCUCUUUGGGGUGGGGUUGACGGUAGCCGGGUUAUGAAGCGCCGGCUAACUACGUG
rnacentral:rRNA from 1 species